GACGGAGGAUGCAAGCGUUAUCCGGAAUGAUUGGGCGUAAAGCGUCUGCAGGUGGCAGUUCAAGUCUGCUGUCAAAGACCGGGGCUUUAACUUCGGAAAGGCAGUGGAAACUGAACAGCUAGAGUAUGGUAGGGGCAGAGGGAAUUCCUGGUGUAGCGGUGAAAUGCGUAGAUAUCAGGAAGAACACCGAUGGCGAAAGCGGCACUCUGGGCUGGAACUGACGCUGAGGAGCGAAAGCGUGGGGAGCGAACAGG
rnacentral:rRNA from 1 species